rnacentral:rRNA from 1 species
UACANCGGGAAGCCAUAUGGCGACAUAGAGCGGACCCGAAAACCNGUCUCAGUUCGGAUUGGAGUCUGCAACCCGACUCCAUGAAGCUGGAUUCGCUAGUAAUCGCGCAUCAGCCACGGCGCGGUGAAUACGUUCCCGGGCCUUGUACACACCGCCCGUCAAGCCAUGGAAGCCGGGAGUGCCUGAAGUGCGUGAGCGCAAGCAGCGCCCUAAGGUAAAACCGGUGACUGGGGCUAAGUCGUAACAAGGUAAC